AGUGGCGUACGGGUGAGUAAUAGCGGAUCAUCUACCUUUUAGUGGGGAAUACCUCCGGGAAACUGGAGACAAUACCGCAUAAGCUCGUGAGAGGAAAACAGCAAUGCGCUGAAAGAGGAGUCCGCGGCUGAUUAGCUAGUUGGCGGGGUAACGGCCCACCAAGGCGAAGAUCGGUAGCCGGCCUGAGAGGGCACACGGCCACACUGGCACUGAAACACGGGCCAGACUCCUACGGGAGGCAGCAGUGGGGAAUCUUGCACAAUGGGGGAAACCCUGAUGCAGCGACGCCGCGUGAGCGAUGAAGCCCUUCGGGGUGUAAAGCUCUUUCGACGGGAACGAUAAUGACGGUACCCGAAGAAGAAGCUGCGGCUAACUACGUGCCAGCAGCCGCGGUAAUACGUAGGCAGCAAGCGUUGUUCGGAAUUACUGGGCGUAAAGAGUGUGUAGGCGGUGUUCUAAGUCUGUUGUGAAAUCUCCCGGCUCAACUGGGAGGGUGUGGCGGA
rnacentral:rRNA from 1 species